AGAACGAACGCUGGCGGCAGGCUUAACACAUGCAAGUCGAGCGCCUCGCAAGAGGAGCGGCAGACGGGUGAGUAACGCGUGGGAAUCUACCCAUCCUUACGGAACAACUCCGGGAAACUGGAGCUAAUACCGUAUACGCCCUUCGGGGAAAGAUUUAUCGAGGAUGGAUGAGCCCGCGUUGGAUUAGCUAGUUGGUGGGGUAAAGGCCUACCAAGGCGACGAUCCAUAGCUGGUCUGAGAGGAUGAUCAGCCACAUUGGGACUGAGACACGGCCCAAACUCCUACGGGAGGCAGCAGUGGGGAAUAUGGACAAUGGGCGCAAGCCUGAUCCAGCCAUGCCGCGUGAGUGAUGAAGGCCCUAGGGUUGUAAAGCUCUUUCACCGGAGAAGAUAAUGACGGUAUCCGGAGAAGAAGCCCCGGCUAACUCGUGCCAGCAGCCGC
rnacentral:rRNA from 1 species